rnacentral:rRNA from 1 species
AUUGAACGCUGGCGGCAGGCCUAACACAUGCAAGUCGAGCGGAGCGGCGGACGGGUGAGUAAUGCCUAGGACUCUGCCUGGUAGUGGGGGAUACAGUCCGGAAACGGGCGAUAAUACCGCAUACUAUCAGAUGAGCCUAGGUCGGAUUAGCUAGUUGGUGGGGUAAAGGCCUACCAAGGCGACGAUCCGUAACUUGUCGGAGAGGAUGGUCAGUCACAUUGGAACUGAGACACGGUCCGGACUCCAAAGGGGGGCAGCAGUGGGGAAUUUUGGACAAGGGGCGAAAUCCGGAUGCAGCCAGGCCGCGGGUGUGAAGAAGGUCUUCGGAUUGUAAAGCACUUUAAUUUGGGAGGCGUUACCAACAGAGUAAGCACCGGCUAACUUCGUGCCAGCAGCCGCGGUAAUAC